GAACCCAUCCAAGUAGAAAUUGAAGUGAGUAAGAAAAUACAAUUUGGGCAUCACUUGACUUUGGCCACCAAACAAUUAAAAUGCAUUUCGUGCAUUACUUGGCCCUCAAUCUAGACUAUCCUCCAAUAUUCUGUUCUUAACUUUGCUAAAACUACAAUCCACAUACUUUUAUAGAUUCCUUGUUCUGAUACCUCAUAAUUCUAUGCAAGCAACUUUUCUUACUUCUAACUUGGCAAUCAUAUCAUCACACAUCUACAUCUACCCAACACUUUAUUAUUUGGCCAGUUGUGGCUUGCUAGAUGCCAAAUACCUUGUAAACUUCAUGUUCUGGUAGUGGUACUACCAUAUUUCAUUUUUAUUUCAUACAGCAAAAGAUCAGUUCCAAGGGGGUAUAACCACUAUUUUAGCUCCAAAUGCCUAGGAUGAGAAAAGAAUAGGAGCAUAGGCUGACGCCAUGUUUUGUAGUUUGUCCUUUGAAAUGUAAGGCACACACAAAUAAUAAGAAUUCAUAUGAUAAAGAUAUGCCAAUUUUGAAAAUCUUUGGAAAGAAUGUUUUAAUAAAUCACAAAAUAGUGGGUUAAAACUAGUGCAGCACGGUAACUUUGGCUACAACAGAAAAAUGUCCAAUCUCGAUAUGAAAUCCAGAGUCUGAACAUCUUGCAGAUAUUACUAAUACUAACUCAUACUCACAAUUGGAAGUUAAAAAAAAUCUAACCAUACUGUCACCAAUUUAAAUCGCCAAAUUAAAUAUAAACAAUGACUGACCUUGUCAUCCACAGUAACCUUAAG
rnacentral:misc_RNA from 1 species